rnacentral:rRNA from 1 species
GGGCCCGCACAAGCGGCGGAGCAUGCGGAUUAAUUCGAUGCAACGCGAAGAACCUUACCUGGGUUUGACAUAUACCGGAAACAUCUGGAGACAGGUGCCCCGCAAGGUCGGUAUACAGGUGGUGCAUGGCUGUCGUCAGCUCGUGUCGUGAGAUGUUGGGUUAAGUCCCGCAACGAGCGCAACCCUCGUUCUAUGUUGCCAGCGGUUCGGCCGGGAACUCAUAGAAGACUGCCGGGGUCAACUCGGAGGAAGGUGGGGAUGACGUCAAGUCAUCAUGCCCCUUAUGUCCAGGGCUUCACGCAUGCUACAAUGGCUGGUACAAAGGGCUGCAAUAUCGCAAGAUGGAGCGAAUCCCAUAAAGCCAGUCUCAGUUCGGAUUGGGGUCUGCAACUCGACCCCAUGAAGUCGGAGUCGCUAGUAAUCGCAGAUCAGCAACGCUGCGGUGAAUACGUUCCCGGGCCUUGUACACACCGCCCGUCAAGUCAUGAAAGUCGGUAACACCCGAAGCCGGUGGCCUAACCCUUGUGGAGGGAGCCGUCGAAGGUGGGACCGGUAAUUAGGACUAAGUCGUAACAAGGUAGCCGUACCGGAAGGUGCGGCU